rnacentral:lncRNA from 1 species
AGGCUGCAGUGAAUUCUACAAAGAGGCUAUGGGAAAGAAACCUGGAAAGUACCCUUGGCUGUGUACAUUUGAGUAAAGAGAGCACUAUAAAAUCAAAAACCAAUGAAAUGGUUUCCAGAACACAGAACUAUUAAGCUUAAGAAAAGGACAGAAGGAACUGAAGAGAGAGGAACUGUUUUGGAGCAUCACACUUCCACCUCAGAAGAAAUAAGGAAGGAAGGAGGAGGGUGUUCCCACGGCUCUUCAACCAGGCCGGCUCUUCAGCCUACAUCCCCAUCUCAUCAAGUAAAAGGGAUUUUUCAACUGGACCAACCAGAUGGUUUAACAGUGCACUCCCACACCAUUCAACUACGCAAGGGAGAUACACUUAACAUAUGCAGUCGUAUAACACCUACUAACAUUUUCAAACAUUAAACCUUUAAAAAAGAGUUCUAAAGAAAUAGAAGCUUGAAGUAUCAUCUCUCAAGUAUAUAGACACUACUUCAUGGUGUGGUAAUAUAUGCAUAUAGAAGCUAGUAAACACCUCCAGGAGAUGCAAAAGGAAUUAGAACUGCCACAAGGUGCAAGCAAAACCUUGAGGUAAUCAAUCUGCAUCCCAUUUUGGAUGAGAAUAUUUGCAACUUUGAAGGUUAUUUUAAGGACAGCAGCAGAAGAAUUAUGGCAGCUUCUUUAAAAUAUGAAGACUUCGAAGUUAUUUAUCCAAACCAACCUGAUCAUUUCUUAAGAGUGAAUAUACCUUGGAAGACGUGUCCUGCCUUUAGUAGCGUCACAAUGGAUUACAUCCUCUAUAAAGCAGUCUGGGGUGAGAAAAUCGAAUUUGGACACCGUUGAGGAGACUAUUGCAGUCAUCCAAGCUCAAGAUGGUGGAGCUUCAUCCUUGAGAAUAACCAAUGGGGAUAGAUUUAAGAGACACUUAGAGUCUGCAGCCAACAGGGCUGAAUGAGCAUUCUGUUUUUCCUCUUCUAAUCCUUCACCCAUCUGAGCUAAAGUCUAGACCUAAGGAGGCUACUAAUUCAGGGAUCGAGUAAUCUGCCAAGCAAGAGUUUAUUCAAGCACAGUUUGAAAUAAAGGUUUCAAAUGCAUAGCCUGUCGAUACUUUGGAAGGAUUCUCAUCAUAACGAGUAUGCAAUUUGCUAUAAAGAAGAAUGCCCAUUACGGACUAAAUGUUUAUGUCCUCCUAAAAUUCAUAUGUUGAAGGCCUAACUCUCAAUGUGAUGAUUAUGUGGAGAUGGUGCCUUUGGGAGGUAACUGGGCUUAGAUGUGGGCGUGAGGGUGGGGCCUCAUGGUGAAAUUUGUGCCCUUGUAAGAAAAACACACCACAGGUUUUCAUUCUUCCUCUGCCACAUGAGGCCACAGUAAGAAUGUGACCAUCUGCUAGCCAGGAGGAAAGUCCUCACUGGAACCCGCCCAUAAUAACACUCCAGUCUGGGGCUUUUCAGCCUCCAGAACCAUGAGAAAUAAAUUUCUAGUGUUUAAGUCA